rnacentral:rRNA from 1 species
GACGAACGCUGGCGGCGUGCUUAACACAUGCAAGUCGAACGGAAAGGCCUCUUUCGGGGGGUACUCGAGUGGCGAACGGGUGAGUAACACGUGAGUAACCUGCCCUUGACUUUGGGAUAACUUCGGGAAACUGGGGCUAAUACCAGAUAGGAGCUCCUGCUGCAUGGUGGGGGUUGGAAAGUUUCGGCGGUUGGGGAUGGACUCGCGGCUUAUCAGCUUGUUGGUGGGGUAGUGGCUUACCAAGGCUUUGACGGGUAGCCGGCCUGAGAGGGUGACCGGCCACAUUGGGACUGAGAUACGGCCCAGACUCCUACGGGAGGCAGCAGUGGGGAAUAUUGCACAAUGGGUGGAAGCCUGAUGCAGCAACGCCGUGGGCGGGAGGACGGCCUUCGGGUUGUAAACCGCUUUCGCUCAUGACGAAGCUUUGUGUGACGGUAGUGGGUAAAGAAGCACCGGCUAACUACGUG